rnacentral:miRNA from 1 species
GCAAGGAUGACAGAGAGGAAG